rnacentral:lncRNA from 1 species
CCCCUCCCCCCCCCUCCCCCCGGCACCUCCGCCCGAACGGCCGCGGGCGGCGCGGGACAGCGGGAAGGCGCGCGAGGGGCCGGGAGUGGAGCGGGUGGGGCUGGAUGUGUGCUGCAGUGACCGGACGAGCACAAAGCUGGGGGAAAAGUGAAGGGGACAGUGUCCCGGUGACAGCUCUCUGCUCCGCUCUGAGCGGGAGAGCCCUUCCCGAGCGAUUUUCAGUGCGCGGUGCAAUUCGUCUGUCUUUUUAAGCCUAGUUACCGCUGAAGAUAUCUUUUCCUGUGCUGGGGGCAGCUCCUGCUGCAUCACUGCUGCCCGGCUCUGCUGCGGGGGGGCUCAGGAGCGAGUGCCACAGAAGGAAGACGGCAGAUAACGUAUAGCACGUGUAACGAUUCACGUUAGUUACUUUGCGAGGGAUAAAAAGAAGCUUUUCUAAUAGGGUAACAGGUAAACAUCGAGUCUCUGGCACGAGCUUUAAUUUCAAGGCGGUCUUCUCCAUUAGACCGAUGUGCGGUGUAUCCUGCGUCCAUCGCCCUGGGCUGGCUGUGCCCAAAGCUCGGGGCAGGGAGCGCGCAGCGUGGGACGGCCGCUGGUGGAGACAUGAAAACGCAGAGCUUUGGAACAGGUGCUCACAGAAAUAGGAGAGCCUCCCCACCUGGAAGUAUUGAGGAGACAUGUGGAUGUGGCACCGAGGGACCUGGUUUAGUGACUGGAAUCGAUUGCCUUUAGUAAAAGUGCCCGAGUAGCUGUGCUUAACUUGUUUAGAUUCAACCUGAAAUGAAUCAGGAGCUGAUGGUAUAAGAUGCUAUUUAGGCAUGAGACCAAACCUCCCACCGAUUCAACUUAAACUCUGGAAUUGUUUGUUUCUGCUGUGGAGCAUCAAUGAAGUACGCAGCCAUGCAGUCAUUUCUCCGAACAUUCACAGACGAAGACUUGCUGUUCCAUAAAACUGCCAGUAUUUUAACAGGAAGAAGGAUGCCCUCUGUGCUGUAGAUAUUCAGAACUGCUCUCUGGUGAUCACUUGCUACUGUUUCAUUGUGUACGAUGUCUCAACAGCCUAGUUUCCUCCAUGGACCUACCACCUGAAAGUCUGGCUUUUUGAAGGAGCAGUGAAAGAGACUGCGAAGUAUCUUCUUACAGAUGAAUGGUUUUCCUCCUGAUUUCAGUCCAAAACCAUGACAGCAGUCCUCCCUCAAUCACUUUAAAAUUUCUCUUGAGACCAAACGUGGGAGAUAUGGGUUUGAAAAGUAGGCUGUCACCUGGAAGUGAUGGACAUAAAUGUUAUAAGUCUCACCAUCACCCCAGCAAUGUGAUUCUAUAGGAACAUUUGCAGUCAGUGGGGGACUCUAUCCACAAAGCAUCUUCUGAUGGAGGAACAAAAUCAAGAGAUGGAUGAGCACGAAGGAAAAGGAAGUCCUGUACUUCUUAACUUUCUAGUGCAGCAGUCCUGGCAAAGACUGCAAUGCACGCUCAUUUCAUUACCCUGCCCAGUGUGCUUUGAUCUCGUAUGGUUGUCCCCAGAUUAUAAAUCCUGAGGGACCAUUGAAUCAUCUGAUCUGACCUCUUGUGUGUUUGCAGGCUAUUAAAUUUCGUUCAUUACCCUUGUAUUGAUCUGAAGGUCUUUUGCCUGGCUACAGUUUGUGUUCCAGUGAUGCCUGUGGUAUUGAUCUGAAGACAUGAAAAGACUGAAUUCAUCAUUUCCACUAUUAUUGGUUUAAAUAUUAUCCCAUUCUCCCUAUUAAUUUUUUCUCCUUAUUUCUAAUUUUAUUUUGUCUCAUUUCAGUUUCGAGCCAUUAGGUUCCUGUUGGGAUUUUCGAUCCUAAACUGCAGAACAUUUCAAGCACUGCUUUCUUCUUGUGUGAAUGUUGGACCCAAAGGUAGUAACAGACUCAAAACGAGAGCCUUCGUUUCUCUCUAAAAUCCAUUUUCUGAUGCUCUCAAAUGAAUUCUGUUUGUUUUCUUUUUAACAGAUUCUCCAUUUUUCCUGCAUGUGUUUUUAAAAUACAGAUAUCUCAGCUUUCUAUUGUGUUACUGUAUCAGUUUCAUGAUGUUUUAUACAAGUGUAAAAUCAUUGCCCACUCCUAAUCUAUGCUUCUUUAGAGAACUGUAUGCAAGAAGGUUCUUCACCAGAAGAAAAUUUGCAGCUUUAUAGAGGUUUAUAAUUUUCUUUUAUUUGGGAGUUCUUAAUUUUUCACGAAGCAAAUUAUCAGAUGAAACGUAUGUAUCAAUCAGAGUAUACAUUUUCAUUUCUUCAGCUGCCAUCCUUCCACGGAGAUCUUGGUUUUGAUAAAUUCAGCACUUCGGUCAGGAUGAUGAAAAGCUGCUCUGCUCCUUGCUUCCAAUACAGAGACUGCACCAUCCCUGCUUAUACAGCACUGCAGCCAGAGCUCAUUCAUAACUGAUUGUCACCUAUGGGCUCUAGAUCUUUCACAGUCGCUGCUCUGUAGCCCCACAGCUAUUCAGAGGGACCUGCACUGCCCCUUCCUAGAUGAGUAAUGUGAGCACGUAUGGAUGUUUUCUGUUUGCAAAGCGCUCUUCUCAUCAGGCUACCCAUAUUCCUCUAUGACAUCUCUUCUCAUCUGUGAAUUUUAUCAGUUUUUGAUUCUGUCUGCAAAUUUUGCACCUGCUGGGAUGAUAGCAGACAUGGCUCUUUGUUUGCAGUGUAUCUUCAAUGCUUGCUGCUUUGGCAAGUUACCACCCAUCACUGAAACUCUUCACCGGACUCUCAUGUAGUAAGGAGAACCACUGGUCCCACAUAUUUCAUAUGUACUGUGUUUAUGUGUCCUAUCUGGUGCCAGCUCCUAAAGGUAUGGCUACCAAAACAUAAAGAAAAUCUCUUUCUGAAUAAGCAAAACUGGGGAAAAGCUCUUCUGCCUGCAGGACUGAGGAAGCUCUUAGGUAUUUAUAAGGAAUUGAUCAGAUGAAACUUGAAGUGAAAGGGCACCUUAGGCAGACUUUGGCCUCCAAGAAUAGAUAGUUGUUGCCAAAAAAGCCCGCACACUGUGACCACCACAUCCCAGCAGAAGAAUUUGCUGGGGAAGGGGCACACUAGAUUCUGCAACUGGAUGGCUCCCAUCAGCUGGGAAGAAAGUAGGCGGGAGCCAAGGCUGGGGCACUGCCCCCUCCCCAGCAGCCGUGGUUACUGUCAGUAGCUACCUUGAAGCUGAUACUUACAGACAACAGGAGAAAAUAGGGACAAAGCUGAACCCCUCAACCUAGGUGUCUGAAAGUGUUUAUCUGUAUGAUGGAGCCUGGCACAACAGUCUUUGGAGCAACUGAAAUUCUGGACCUGCUGGACGGAAGCAGUGCUGAAGCAGCCCUUAGCCUUGCAGUUGCUCGUCCAGCACUGGGGAGAAGUCAACUCAACUGUCAAGAAAGAAAUACUGGAGACUUAUCAUGGAGCAGACCACAUUUGCACUGUAAUUUUUCUGUUGUUUAGAAAAACAUUUGAAGCAAUUCUUGUCUUCCUGCAGACUGAAUUUUCAAAUGGACAGACAGUGAUAGGAAAAGGGAGAAUGGCUUUUCAUUAAAAAAAGGUGAAUUUUAGGUUGGAUGUUAGGAAGAAUUUUUUUAUUUGGAGAAUGACAAGGCAGUGGCACAGGCUGCCCAGAGGAGGUGUGGAUGUCCCAUCCCUGGAGACAUCAAAGGCCAGGUUGGAUGGGGCCCUGGGCAGCCUGAGCUGGUGGGUGGCAGCCCUGCCCAUGGCAGGGAGGUUGGGACCAAAUGAUCUUUAAGGUCUCUUCCAACCUAAGCCCUUCUAUGAUAUAGCUGAAACAUUAAUGACAAAGUAACGUAUAUUUUAAUUUGUAGACUAGAUGGUAGAUUGCAUAAUAAUCGCAGUAAAAUUACUGUAGUUCCAUGUUGCCUGCAUUUAAUAAUCAAUGCAGGCUGACUACUACAUGACUCUUUAUUACAGUAUAGAUUCCACAGAGUUAUUGUAUCUGAAAUCUAAAAAUAGUCAUUAAGUACGAAGAUGAGUGAUUAGAAAGUCACUCAGACAACCUCCAACUUGUAGAGUUUAUGCUCAGGAAAGUACCACCAUUGUGAAACCACAAUGGCUCGACAUAGCCUUAAAACAAAGUUUUGCAGUGUUCUGAAAUGCACAUUUAGCUAAAGGACAUGAAAAUCUGUUUAGUUGUAUUUACUUUAUGGCUAGAGUACAAAAUACUAAUGCAAGUUGCUGUUUCCAUGUAUUCAAAAAAAAAAAAA